rnacentral:tRNA from 1 species
CAGAUAGUAGUUUAUAAAAAUACUGACCUUGGGUGUCAAUGAUCGCUGAUGUGCGCUAUCUGA